rnacentral:misc_RNA from 1 species
AAAAUAAUCCUACCCUUUGUGAAUUUUGUUUGUUUGAAUAAUUUUUUUUUUUUAAAAAAUUAUUGGAGUCUUUCCCUUUAGAGUUUGCUUUUGAGUUUGUAAAAGAAUUCGAAAACAUCUAAAGGGGAUGGUCAAUAAUUUUUUUUGAAAAAAGACAUUUUUUAAAAUUAAACUUUUUGUAUUCAUUUGUCUAAAAAUUAUUUUUAUAAUAUAAAGACAACUUUUGACAAUGGAUCUCUUGGUUCUCGCAACGAUGAAGAACGCAGCAAAAUGCGAUAAGUAGUGUGAAUUGCAGAAUACGUGAAUCAUCGAAUCUUUGAACGCAUAUUGCACUUUUUUAGUUUACUAAAAAAGUAUGUCUGUUUGAGUAUCAGUAAAAUAUUCUCAUAAAAAUCAUUGUGUAUUUUUAUGGUUAUGAGUGUUUUACAACGAUACAAGUUGUUUCACUUUAAAUUUUUUUUUAAUAUUGAAAUUUUUCUAAUUUUAAUAAUUAAAAUUGGAUAAAAUUUUCCCGUCAAAAGGAAUAACCUAAACAAUUUUAAAUGAUUAAUUUUAGCAAAAUUUUCGAAAAAAGGAAAAUUUUUAUUAAAAUAACUUGAUCUCAAAUCAGAUAAGAGUACCCGCUGAACUUAAGCAUAUCAAUAAGCGGAGGAAAAGAAACUGACAAGGAUUCCCUUAGUAACGGCGAGUGAAGCGGGAAGAGCUCAAAUUUGAAAUCUUCAAGGUUUUACCUUGACGAAUUGUAGUUUAAAGAAGUGUUUUCUGCUGAAGUUUUGGUAAAAGUUCUUUGGAAUAGGACAUCAUAGAGGGUGAGAAUCCCGUAUUUGACCAUUAUUUUCAGCUUUGCGAUACACUUUCAAAGAGUCGGAUUGUUUGGGAAUGCAGUCCAAAAUGGGUGGUAAAUUUCAUCUAAAGCUAAAUAUUGGCGAGAGACCGAUAGCGAACAAGUACCGUGAGGGAAAGAUGAAAAGAACUUUGAAAAGAGAGUUAAACAGUACGUGAAAUUGUCAAAAGGGAAGCGUUUGACACCAGUGUUGUUUUCUCGAAAAUCAAUUAAAAAUGGCUCGAUUUUGUAUUGCUGAGACCUUAAAAGCUCACUGUACAUUUUUCGUGUCUUUUUUAAUGCACUUUUCGUUUAAUAAGUCAACAUCAGUUUCUUUUGUUGUAAAAGGGUCAUUGGAAGGUGGCUUUCUUUUCGGAGAAAGUGUUUAUAGCCUUUGGCCUCUGCAAUCGAAGAGACUGAGGUCUGCAGCGUAGACUCUUCGGGGUUAGAUACAUUUGUGCUAAGUUAUAGCUUUUUAUAGACAACUUGUUGACUAUAAUUAGUCUUGUAGCUUACUCGCUUAUGCUAUUUUACCUACGCUUAGGAUG